UCGGAACGAACGCUGGCGGCAUGCCUAACACAUGCAAGUCGAACGAGACCUUCGGGUCUAGUGGCGCACGGGUGCGUAACGCGUGGGAAUCUACCCUUGGGUUCGGAAUAACAGUUGGAAACGACUGCUAAUACCGGAUGAUGACGUAAGUCCAAAGAUUUAUCGCCCAGGGAUGAGCCCGCGUAGGAUUAGCUAGUUGGUGAGGUAAAGGCUCACCAAGGCGACGAUCCUUAGCUGGUCUGAGAGGAUGAUCAGCCACACUGGGACUGAGACACGGCCCAGACUCCCACGGGAGGCAGCAGUGGGGAAUCUUGCGCAAUGGGCGAAAGCCUGACGCAGCCAUGCCGCGUGAAUGAUGAA
rnacentral:rRNA from 1 species